GUGGGGAAUAUUGCACAAUGGGCGCAAGCCUGAUGCAGCCAUGCCGCGUGUAUGAAGAAGGCCUUCGGGUUGUAAAGUACUUUCAGCGGGGAGGAAGGCGAUAAGGUUAAUAACCUUGUCGAUUGACGUUACCCGCAGAAGAAGCACCGGCUAACUCCGUGCCAGCAGCCGCGGUAAUACGGAGGGUGCAAGCGUUAAUCGGAAUUACUGGGCGUAAAGCGCACGCAGGCGGUCUGUCAAGUCGGAUGUGAAAUCCCCGGGCUCAAACGGGGAACUGCAUUGGAAACUGGCAGGCUAGAGUCUUGUAGAGGGGGGUAGAAUUCCAGGUGUAGCGGUGAAAUGCGUAGAGAUCUGGAGGAAUACCGGUGGCGAAGGCGGCCCCCUGGACAAAGACUGACGCUCAGGUGCGAAAGCGUGGGGAGCAAACAGGAUUAGAUACCCGAGUAGUCC
rnacentral:rRNA from 1 species